rnacentral:rRNA from 1 species
UAGGGAAUCUUCCGCAAUGGACGCAAGUCUGACGGAGCAACGCCGCGUGAGUGAAGAAGGAUUUCGGUUCGUAAAACUCUGUUGUUAGAGAAGAACAGCGCAUAGAGUAACUGUUAUGCGUGUGACGGUAUAUAACCAGAAAGCCACGGCUAACUACGUGCCAGCAGCCGCGGUAAUACGUAGGUGGCAAGCGUUGUCCGGAUUUAUUGGGCGUAAAGCGAGCGCAGGCGGUCAAUUAAGUCUGAUGUGAAAGCCCCCGGCUCAACCGGGGAGGGUCAUUGGAAACUGGUUGACUUGAGUGCAGAAGAGGAGAGUGGAAUUCCAUGUGUAGCGGUGAAAUGCGUAGAUAUAUGGAGGAACACCAGUGGCGAAGGCGACUCUCUGGUCUGUAACUGACGCUGAGGUUCGAAAGCGUGGGUAGCAAACAGG